rnacentral:rRNA from 1 species
GCAGCCAGGCUAACUCUGUGCCAGCAGCCGCGGUAAUACAGAGGGUGCAAGCGUUAAUCGGAUUUACUGGGCGUAAAGCGCGCGUAGGCGGCUAAUUAAGUCAAAUGUGAAAUCCCCGAGCUUAACUUGGGAAUUGCAUUCGAUACUGGUUAGCUAGAGUGUGGGAGAGGAUGGUAGAAUUCCAGGUGUAGCGGUGAAAUGCGUAGAGAUCUGGAGGAAUACCGAUGGCGAAGGCAGCCAUCUGGCCUAACACUGACGCUGAGGUGCGAAAGCAUGGGGAGCAAACAGGAUUAGAUACCCUGGUAGUCCAUGCCGUAAACGAUGUCUACUAGCGGUUGGGGCCUUUGAGGCUUUAGUGGCGCAGCUAACGCGAUAAGUAGACCGCCUGGGGAGUACGGUCGCAAGACUAAAACUCAAAUGAAUUGACGGGGGCCCGCACAAGCGGUGGAGCAUGUGGUUUAAUUCGAUGCAACGCGAAGAACCUUACCUGGCCUUGACAUAGUAAGAACUUUCCAGAGAUGGAUUGGUGCCUUCGGGGAACUUACA